rnacentral:rRNA from 1 species
GUUUCAGCCGCCGCGGUAAGACAGAGGGUGCGAACGUUGCUCGGAAUUACUGGGCGUAAAGCGCGUGUAGGCGGGUGAUCAAGUCGGGUGUGAAAUCCCCAGGCUCAACCUGGGAACUGCAUUCGAAACUGGUUGCCUUGAGUGUUGGAGAGGGAAGCGGAAUUCCUGGUGUAGAGGUGAAAUUCGUAGAUAUCAGGAGGAACACCGGUGGCGAAGGCGGCUUCCUGGACAAUUACUGACGCUGAGACGCGAAAGCGUGGGGAGCAAACAGGAUUAGAAACCCGCGUAGUCC